GUUAGUUGACGAUGCAAUCAGCAUGCUGAUUAAGGUUGCUUGGAUUUUUACUAAACAUUAACUGAAUGAAAACGGGUAGUCCUUGUUCUGCUUGGGGGCUUUAAGGAAGCAAAUGGACUUUCAGAACAGAGAUUGUCAAUAAAGGGCUGAAGUAUUGAAAUGGAAGCCCAAUUGGGGUGAGGUGACCGACAUAUAUAUAGGAAUGUCCAUCUGGACCUCUGAAUGCCAUCCUCUGAGAAGAUGCCCAUGACAGCAAGCACACUGGAGCGCAACACCAUCCUGGGUGAAGAUUUGUUGCAAUUGAAUGUGGAUGUGCUGAUCUCUGUGCUCCUGGAUAUGGAGCUGUUAAUCUCUCCUCAAGAGCUGGAUGCAGGCCCAGGCUGCCAUGUAGCACUGAGUGAUGCCAUGCCAAUUCUAGACAAGGUCUUUAUUGCUGGAAAUGUUGCAUAAUGACAGUUUUAUUCAUGUGAAAACGCAGAAUACAUUUCAACUGUAUGAAAUUGUUUAUGUUCAUCAGAAAUGUUAUUUGUCUUCACAAAGUCUGGUUUCAAUGAACCAGCUAUGUAAUGGAUAUUAAAUAAACAUGGAAUUUUACAUGUUCAUAA
rnacentral:lncRNA from 1 species